AACCCAUGUUGAGGACAUUUCUGCAGGAGCUCCUCGAACCUAUCACAUGUCUCAAAAAGAGACUCUAAUUCUUUUUUCACAAAGGAGGAAAUUUCAUUCACGAGCUU